rnacentral:rRNA from 1 species
GACGAACGCUGGCGGCGUGCUAACACAUGCAAGUGGAGCGACGAACCGGGGCUUGCCCCGGGGCAAAGCCGCGAACGGGUGAGUAACACGUGGGUAACCUACCCAGAUGACCGGGACAACCCGAGGAAACUCGGGCUAAUACCGGAUGUGCUCCUUUCACAUCAGUGAUUUGAGUAAAGAUAGUUUCGGCCUUCGCAUCUGGACGGGCCCGCGGCCCAUCAGCUUGUUGGUGAGGUAACGGCUCACCAAGGCGACGACGGGUAGCUGGUCUGAGAGGAAGAUCAGCCACAUUGGGACUGAGACACGGCCCAGACUCCUACGGGAGGCAGCAGUGGGGAAUAUUGCGCAAUGGGCGAAAGCCUGACGCAGCGACGCCGCGUGUGGGAUGACGGCCUUCGGGUUGUAAACUGCUUUUGUACGGAACGAAACGGCUCUCACUAAUACUGGGGGCUAAUGACGGUACCGUAAGAAUAAGCACCGGCUAACUACGUGCCAGCCGCCGCCGUAACAC